rnacentral:rRNA from 1 species
GCAUGCAGUCGAACGGUACCGAUGAGCCAAGUUUGCUUGGAACAUCGGGAGAGUGGCAAACGGGUGAGUAACACGUAAGCAACCUGCCCCUAAGUAGGGGAUAACUCUGAGAAAUUGGAGCUAAUACCGUAUGUGGUGGUGGAGGUAAGGCUUCAUCACUAAAGCCUUAGGGCGCUUGGGGAGGGGCUUGUGUCCGAUUAGCUAGUUGGUAGGGUAACGGUUUACCAAGGCGAUGAUCGGUAGCUGGUCUGAGAGGACGAUCAGCCACACUGGGACUGAGAUACGGCCCAGACUCCUAUGGGAGGCAGCAGCAAGGAAUUUUGUGCAAUGGGCGAAAGCCUGACACAGCGACACCGCGUGAGGGAUGAAGGCCUUCGGGUUGUAAACCUCUUUUCUCAGGGAAGAAUAAUGACGGUACCUGAGGAAUAAGUCUCGGCUAACUACGUGCCAGCAGCCGCGGUAAUACGUAGGAGGCGAGCGUUAUCCGGAUUUACUGGGCGUAAAGAGGGCGUAGGCGGCUUUUCAAGUCGGGUGUGAAAUCUCCCUGCUUAAUGGGGAGGGGUCAUUCGAUACUGUUAAGCUAGAGGACAGCAGAGGGAGGUGGAAUUCCCGGUGGAGUGGUGAAAUGCGUAGAUAUCGGGAGGAACACCAGUGGCGAAGGCGGCCUCCUGGGCUGUUUCUGACGUUGAGGCCCGAAAGCGUGGGGAGCGAACAGGAUUAGAUACCCUGGUAGUCCACGCUGUUAACGAUGGAUACUAGGUAUAGGGAGUAUCGACCCUCUCUGUGCCGAAGCUAACGCGUUAAGUAUCCCGCCUGGGGACUAC